rnacentral:rRNA from 1 species
GAUUAACGCUAGCGGGAGGCUUAACACAUGCAAGUCGAGGGGCAUCACGAGGUAGCAAUACUUUGGUGGCGACCGGCGCACGGGUGAGUAACACGUAUGCAACCUUCCCUGUACAGGGGGAUAACCCGGAGAAAUUCGGACUAAUACCCCAUGAUGAUAUUAUGGGGCAUCCUUUAAUAUUUAAAGCUCUGGCGGUACAGGAUGGGCAUGCGCGACAUUAGCUAGUUGGUAAGGUAACGGCUUACCAAGGCGACGAUGUUUAGGGGACCUGAGAGGGUUGUCCCCCACACUGGUACUGAGACACGGACCAGACUCCUACGGGAGGCAGCAGUGAGGAAUAUUGGUCAAUGGGCGCAAGCCUGAACCAGCCAUCCCGCGUGAAGGAAGACGGCCUUAUGGGUUGUAAACUUCUUUACUACGCGAAUAGAGGUUAGUACGAGAUACUAAUAGGAAGGUAGUGUAGUAAAAAGCACCGGCUAACUCCGUG